rnacentral:rRNA from 1 species
AAUUUACGCUGGCGGCGUGCCUAAUACAUGCAAGUCGAGCGGAACUGGGGGAGCUUGCUCCUUCCAGUUUAGCGGCGGACGGGUGAGUAACACGUGGGCAACCUGCCCUGCAGAUCGGGAUAACUCCGGGAAACCGGUGCUAAUACCGAAUAGUUUGGCGCCUCUCCUGAGGCGCUACGGAAAGACGGUUUCGGCUGUCACUGCAGGCUGGGCCCGCGGCGCAUUAGCUAGUUGGUGGGGUAACGGCCCACCAAGGCGACGAUGCGUAGCCGACCUGAGAGGGUGACCGGCCACACUGGGACUGAGACACGGCCCAGACUCCUACGGGAGGCAGCAGUAGGGAAUCUUCCGCAAUGGACGCAAGUCUGACGGAGCAACGCCGCGUGAGUGACGAAGGUUUUCGGAUCGUAAAACUCUGUUGUGAGGGAAGAACACGUACCAACUAACUAUUGGUACCUUGACGGUACCUCACCAGAAAGCCACGGCUAACUACGUGCCAGCAGCCGCGGUAA